CUACGGGCCGCACCAGUAGGGAAUCUUAGACAAUGGGGGAAACCCUGAUCUAGCCAUGCCGCGUGAGUGAUGAAGGCCUUAGGGUUGUAAAGCUCUUUCGCUGGGGAAGAUAAUGACGGUACCCAGUAAAGAAACCCCGGCUAACUCCGUGCCAGCGAGCCGCGGUAAUACGGAGGGGGUUAGCGUUGUUCGGAAUUACUGGGCGUAAAGCGCGCGUAGGCGGGCUAUUAAGUCAGGGGUGAAAUCCCGGGGCUCAACCCCGGAACUGCCUUUGAUACUGGUAGUCUUGAGUUCGGGAGAGGUGAGUGGAAUUCCGAGUGUAGAGGUGAAAUUCGUAGAUAUUCGGAGGAACAUCAGUGGCGAAGGCGACUCACUGGCUCGAUACUGACGCUGAGGUGCGAAAGUGUGGGGAGCAAACAGGAUUAGAUACCCGAGUAGUC
rnacentral:rRNA from 1 species